rnacentral:tRNA from 8 species
CGCGGGGUGGAGCAGUUCGGUAGCUCGCUGGGCUCAUAACCCAGAGGUCGCAGGUUCAAAUCCUGUCCCCGCAAC